rnacentral:rRNA from 1 species
UACGGGGGGUGCGAGCGUUGUCCGGAAUCACUGGGCGUAAAGGGCGCGUAGGUGGUUUGAUAAGGGUGUGGUGAAAGUCCGGGGCUCAACCCCGGAUCUGCCGUGCCGACUGUCAAACUCGAGGACUGUAGAGGCAGACGGAAUUCCGGGUGUAGCGGUGGAAUGCGUAGAGAUCCGGAGGAAGACCGGUGGCGAAGGCGGGUAGCUGGGCCGACACUGACGCUGAGGCGCGAAAGCCAGGGGAGCGAACGGG